GACCAACGCUGGUUGGCGUGCUUAACACAUGCAAGUCGAACGGAAAGGCUCCAGCUUGCUGGAGUACUCGAGUGGCGAACGGGUGAGUAACACGUGGGUGAUCUGCCCUGCACUUCGGGAUAAGCCUGGGAAACUGGGUCUAAUACCGGAUAGGACCGCACUUUGGUGUGUGUGGUGGAAAGGUUUUUCUGGUGUGGGAUGAGCUCGCGGCCUAUCAGUUUGUUGGUGGGGUAAUGGCCUACCAAGACGGCGACGGGUAGCCGGCCUGAGAGGGUGGACGGUCACAUUGGGACUGAGAUACGGCCCAGACUCCUACGGGAGGCAGCAGUGGGGAAUAUUGCACAAUGGGGGAAACCCUGAUGCAGCGACGCCGCGUGGGGGAUGAAGGCCUUCGGGUUGUAAACUCCUUUCGCUAGGGACGAAGCUUUUUGUGACGGUACCUGGAGAAGAAGCACCGGCUAACUACGUGCCAGCAGCCGCGGUAAUACGUAGGGUGCGAGCGUUGUCCGGAAUUACUGGGCGUAAAGGGCUCGUAGGUGGUGUGUCGCGUCGUCUGUGAAAUUCCGGGGCUUAACUCCGGGCGUGCAGGCGAUACGGGCAUGCUUGAGUGCUGUAGGGGUAGCUGGAAUGCCUGGUGUACGGUGAAAUGCGCAGAUAUCAGGCAGAACGCCGAUGGCGAAGGCAGGUUACUGGGCAGUUACUGACGCUGAGGAGCGAAAGCAUGGGUAGCGAACAGGAUUAG
rnacentral:rRNA from 1 species